rnacentral:rRNA from 1 species
UGGGGAAUAUUGCACAAUGGGCGCAAGCCUGAUGCAGCAACGCCGCGUGAGGGACGACGGCCUUCGGGUUGUAAACCUCUUUUGGCAGGGAAGAAGCGAAAGUGACGGUACCUGCAGAAAAAGCACCGGCUAACUACGUGCCAGCAGCCGCGGUGAUACGUAGGGUGCAAGCGUUGUCCGGAAUUAUUGGGUUUAAAGGGUGCGUAGGCGGACUAAUAAGUCAGUGGUGAAAGCCUGCAGCUUAACUGCAGAAUUGCCAUUGAUACUGUUAGUCUUGAGUACAGUUGAGGUAGGCGGAAUGUGUCAUGUAGCGGUGAAAUGCUUAGAUAUGACACAGAACACCGAUUGCGAAGGCAGCUUGCUAAGCUGUAACUGACGCUGAGGCACGAAAGCGUGGGGAGCAAACA